AGGAUUAACGCUGGCGGCGUGCAUGAAACAUGCAAGUCGAGCGCGGCGCGUGGCUUCGGUCACGCGUCUAGCGGCGCACGGGUGAGUAACACGUGAGCAACCUACCUUCGAGUUCGGGAUAGCCCUGGGAAACCAGGAUUAAUACCGGAUGUGGUCACAACGGGACAUCCCGAUGUGAAAAAAGGCGCAAGCCGCUCGAUGACGGGCUCGCGGCCUAUUAGCUUGUUGGUGGGGUAACGGCCUACCAAGGCGACGAUGGGUAGCUGGUCUGAGAGGACGAUCAGCCACACUGGGACUGAGACACGGCCCAGACUCCUACGGGAGGCAGCAGUUAGGAAUUUUCCGCAAUGGGCGAAAGCCUGACGGAGCAACGCCGCGUGUGUGAUGAAGGCCUUCGGGUUGUAAGCACUGUCGGAGGGAGAAUGAAUGACGGUACCCUCCAAGAAGCCCGGCUAACUACGUGCCAGCAGCCGCGGU
rnacentral:rRNA from 1 species